GUCAGCCGCCGCGGUAACACCGGCAGCUCUAGUGGUAGCUAAUUUUAUUGGGCCUAAAGCGUCCGUAGCCGGUUUAAUAAGUCUCUGGUGAAAUCCUGCAGCUUAACUGUGGGAAUUGCUGGAGAUACUAUUAGACUUGAGACCGGGAGAGGUUAGAGGUACUCCCAGGGUAGAGGUGAAAUUCUGUAAUCCUGGGAGGACCGCCUGUUGCGAAGGCGUCUAACUGGAACGGUUCUGACGGUGAGGGACGAAAGUUAGGGGCGCGAACCGGAUUAGAUACCCGGGUAGUCCUAACUGUAAACGAUGCGGACUUGGUGUUGGGGUGGCUUUGAGCUGCUUCAGUGCCGAAGGGAAGCUGUUAAGUCCGCCGCCUGGGAAGUACGGUCGCAAGACUGAAACUUAAGGAAUUGGCGGGGGAGCACCACAACGCGUGGAGCCUGCCGGUUUAAUUGGAUUCAACGCCGGACAUCUCACCAGAGGCGACAGCUGUAUGAUAGCCAGGUUGAUGACUUUGCUUGACUAGCUGAGGAGUGGUGCAUGG
rnacentral:rRNA from 1 species